rfam:Myotis davidii contig164389, whole genome shotgun sequence.
UGUUUUCCGAUGGUCUUAGGCGACCCCUGUGAAAGGGUCGUUCGACCCCCAAAGGGGUCGCGACCCAUAUGUUGAGAACCGCUGUUUUAGGGAGUUGUGGGUGGUAAGCUGGGGAUGCGCUGCAGGGAGGGCAGUCCCUGAGCCGGGGCUCCCAUGACACAGACCCAGCUCUGCCCUUGUAGGCCCGUGGACUCUGGUAAAACUGUUCCUGAGUUGUUCUGGAUAUCUACAUGGCUUGUUUUUCUCCAUAUCUUGAUUAUGGAUGGCAUCUCUAAUAUUUCUGGCCUCAUUUGAUCCAAUUUUGUG